rnacentral:rRNA from 1 species
AUGAACGCUGGCGGCGUGCCUAAUACAUGCAAGUCGAGCGAACAGACGAGGAGCUUGCUCCUCUGACGUUAGCGGCGGACGGGUGAGUAACACGUGGAUAACCUACCUAUAAGACUGGGAUAACUUCGGGAAACCGGGGCUAAUACCGGAUAAUAUAUUGAACCGCAUGGUUCAAUAGUGAAAGACGGUUUUGCUGUCACUUAUAGAUGGAUCCGCGCCGCAUUAGCUAGUUGGUAAGGUAACGGCUUACCAAGGCAACGAUGCGUAGCCGACCUGAGAGGGUGAUCGGCCACACUGGAACUGAGACACGGUCCAGACUCCUACGGGAGGCAGCAGUAGGGAAUCUUCCGCAAAGGGCGAAAGCCUGACGGAGCAACGCCGCGUGAGUGAUGAAGGUCUUCGGAUCGUAAAACUCUGUUAUUAGGGAAGAACAAAUGUGUAAGUAACUAUGCACGUCUUGACGGUACCUAAUCAGAAAGCCACGGCUAACUACGUG